GACGAACGCUGGCGGCGUGCUUAACACAUGCAAGUCGAACGGAAAGGCCCUGCUUUUGUGGGGUGCUCGAGUGGCGAACGGGUGAGUAACACGUGAGUAACCUGCCCUUGACUUUGGGAUAACUUCAGGAAACUGGGGCUAAUACCGGAUAGGAGCUCCUGCUGCAUGGUGGGGGUUGGAAAGUUUCGGCGGUUGGGGAUGGACUCGCGGCUUAUCAGCUUGUUGGUGGGGUAGUGGCUUACCAAGGCUUUGACGGGUAGCCGGCCUGAGAGGGUGACCGGCCACAUUGGGACUGAGAUACGGCCCAGACUCCUACGGGAGGCAGCAGUGGGGAAUAUUGCACAGUGGGCGGAAGCCUGAGGCAGCAACGCCGCGUGCGGGAUGACGGCCUUCGGGUUGUAAACCGCUUUCGCCUGUGACGAAGCGUGAGUGACGGUAAUGGGUAAAGAAGCACCGGCUAACUACGUG
rnacentral:rRNA from 1 species